UGAGAUGUUGUGAGGUUUUAUUCCCAUGAUGGUAUAAAACUGUAGUUACAAUAUGUUGGAGGCAUUGAAUGUGCUUAACUGUGUUACACUAAAUCAUCUUUCUUUGAACUUUUUCUUGAUUAAGUGACAAAAAUGAAAGACUGUAUGUAAAGUAUUUUAUUUUGCACAGAAAACAGACAUGAAUAGAGGAUCAAAAUGAUACAUUUAAACACACAUUUGUUUUGAUGAGGUGAUGCAGCGUUCUGCGGUCACUCAUUUUAAUGUCCACCACAAAAUGGUGUCAGCUGGCAGUGCAUCAAAGAUUCAAAUCAUCAGCCGGCACAUCCCAGAAUAAAGCCUUAAAGCUCCGUAAGGCUUCAUCUGCCCAUAAAUUAAAGAUGCCAUCCUGAGCAAAUUUUACAAAAGAGGAAAGUAAGCACAGCAGUGUUCUUCCACCAACAGCUGGACUGCAGUGAGAGCAGCUUACAGCAAACACAAGACAGCAUGCAGCUCACUGGAUCAAGAUUACAGCAAAGAGACUAUCAGAUCAUGCCCAGUAUCCUUUCUGAGAUUAAUAAUUGGCAUCCUUACAACUAAAGACAAAAUAAAAACUAAAUAUAUAGGGAGAACUGAUAUUAAACGUCAGAAAAGGUUGAAAUAGCAGUUCAAGAGUGAGAACUGAAACUGUUGGAAUGACAAGAGAGUAAGAACAGAUAUUAUAACUAAAUAAAAAUCUCUAAACUACACCUACACCUUAUUAUUCAGCUGAACACACGGAUGCUACAUUUGGAAACAUUUAAAAAAUACAUCCAUUUUGAGAGAUAUUUAAUAAAAAACUACAAACAAACGUGGCCCUUUUCACAAAUCAUUUUUAUGAACCCUUCCCUUGUCUUCUUUUAUGAAUCUUACACAUUUUAUAAGCUCAUGAGUUCAAAUAUAAAAACCACUUAGCUUCGUAGUAAAGACAGCUCGUGUUGAAUCAUCAGUCACAUUAAUAGUAAGGAAUCAGUAAGUAUUAGAAUUUACCUGAGAAACAAGAUCUUGGGAAGAAAAAAAAAACACACUUCAGUUUAGGGACCGAUUCUCACUAUUAACUCGUUGCUUAUUAGCAUGCAUAUUAUUAACACAUCGGCUGUUUCUUAGUACUUAUAAAGCAUGCAUUCUGCAUGACUAUAUUCUACAUCCCUCAUCCUGCCAAUACUUAAAGUUUACUGAGACAAAAGUCAUGGUUUGUUGAUAGCAAGAAUUGGACCGUAAAAUAAAGCAUGAAACUAGAACUAAUUAGCCACCUAAAAGAAAAAGGACGCUUUAUGAUUCAUCAAUGUGAUCUUAACAGCACAACUAAUCACUCAUAUAUAUAUAUACUAAAUUAACAAAUAUAUAUAUAUUUUUACAUUUGAUAUGAACAAGAGUCCUAUGAACAACAGAUUGUCCCACACAAACCAUUUGAAAUACCUUGGAAUAUCAGUUUCAAUUCAUUCUGCUGGUACACUUUCUAAUAAGAUGAAUGGCUUGAGUUUCUUUCACAGAUGUCUGUUCUGGGAGUGUGUUUGCUGAGCAGGAAUGAUAUUCCACAAGAAGGCCGGAUUGCUUUACGGCAGCAACAAAUUCUGUAAUAACCACAAUGGUAUACUGUAUUUAAGACAGCGAAUGCCACCCACUUAAAGGGAUACUCCACCCCAAAAUGAAAAUGUUGUCAUUAAUCACUUACCCCCAUGGGACCCCAAAGUCACAAAAAUACACAAAAUUACAUGCAGCUGCUUUAAAUUAAGUAAAAUAAUAAUAAUAUUUGCUGUAAACACCCUUUGCUUUAAACAGCUUUUUCCUAGGCACACAUGUUCAGUUUUAAGGCAGUUUGCAGCUUCUUAUCAUCUGUUUUAGGACUCAUUGUUCAUAUAAAAAUUCCACUGGAUUAUUACAAGAUUUGCAAAAGGAAUGUUCGGAAAUGUAAAAUUGAUAUUUCCUACUGGUGCACUAACGAAAACGACAUAAAUCACUUCUAAGAAGCGUCUAAAGUGCCUAAAAGCUUAGUGUAUAGAGGACGUGCACAGAAACAUGCUGCUCAGUCGAGGUUGAGUAUUUCUAGAAUAAAUGCAAGUGCAGGGCCUGCUCGUCGAUCAGGGCACGUCAGCUCAGAGUUUGACUUCUCCAGAGUCAUCCAGCACAAGCAAUGCAUUCCCUGUGAAAACACCGCCAGCUUUCAAAGAACGCCUCUCUGCAUUCUGUGCUUAAAGUGAUUCGUGUAACUUGAUUAUUAAUACGAUAUGAAAACUAAAAUUACAUUUUUUAUCAUUAAGGCUGAAAUACAGAUACAAAGUAUUACCUUGUGUCUUGACUUGCUGGACAGCGCAUCUUUAAUAGCAAGGUGAACAGAAGUCUAACUAUAAUAUAUAAUUUUGUGGACUGAUGGUAAAAACAAAACAGUCUUCAUUUUAAAGUUGUUAGCUUGUGCAAAGGCUGUUAAAGAGAAAGAACCUUGGAUAAAGAUUUCUAGCAGAGAAUUGAAUCAAUCUAGGUUCAUCGGCACUUUAAGAAUGAUCUAAGAGAGAGCACAAGAAUCUGCACUUUUAGGGAUCCCAGGCUCUGAGUCAUAGGUCUCGUCACCCUCUUCAUCAGCUGCGUCCGGAGUGGAAGGACUGGGAGAGAACUCAGACGGAGCAUCUUCAUAGCCGCUGCUUUCAUCGUUAUCAUCUGAACCCUGAGCUUCGUGCUUCUGACUGUGAAACGCUGACAGACUUAAUGUUUGGUUGCUGACUUUCUUGAGUUGUAAGAGCUGGCUUGUGUAUAGAUCCACUGCAGAGCCUUCACUGUGAGCGAGCGGCUGUUCGUCCCAGUCCACUGACGUCCCCUCGCUCCACUGAAGCUGCUCACUGUUUCUGUCCUGCGGAGGAUAACACACUCAACAUGAGGAAACAUAAUCUGGAGACCUAUAAACCAAUCGGGACUCAGCAAACAUGCCAUUUGAAGGCUAUGUGUUGAUCAGGUAGUCAGGUGUCAGUGAAAACACUGUCGAAAAAUGACAAGUCAGAAGUU
ensembl:lncRNA